rnacentral:tRNA from 1 species
GCUUCCGUAGCCCAAUUGGCAGAGGUAACCGGCUUAGACCCGGCGCAUGUGCAGGUUCGAGUCCUGCCGGAAGCACCA